CUUGAGCGAGCCCAGCCACAGCGGGCGGUCCUCGGGUCGCCCCUGCCCGUAGGUGGCCAGCAGCGCCUGCGCCUC
rnacentral:antisense_RNA from 1 species